UGCUGUUCCUGAAGAAAAACCACUUCAUGUCAGCAGCCACGGAGAGUUGAGGGGCCGAGGGCUUCCUGAGCGGCGCUCCAGCCAGUAGGAAAUCAUCAGGGAAUGGUAAAGUCCCCUGCAGUAUGUAAAGAAGCCUUCCGGGUCAUCUCAUGUUGAACAUCUGUUGGUGUGUUUCGUGCAGUGGAAAGGAGGAGGAAUAGCCAAAGAAGCCGCAAUUGUUGCAAGGUUACAGCA